rnacentral:rRNA from 1 species
UAACACGUGGACAACCUGCCCUGAGGACUGGAAUAAUCCCGGGAAACUGGGGGUAAUUCCAGAUAUGUCAGAACUCCUGGAAUGGGUUCUGGCAGAAAGGCUCCGGCGCCUCAGGAUGGGUCUGCGGCCUAUCAGGGUAGUAGUGGGUGUAACGUACCUACUAGCCUACGACGGGUACGGGUUGUGAGAGCAAGAGCCCGGAGAUGGAUUCUGAGACAUGAAUCCAGGCCCUACGGGGUGCAGCAGGCGCGAAAACUUUACAAUGCGGGCAACCGCGAUAAGGGGACCUCGAGUGCUGGGUUACAAACCUGGCUGUUGGGCUGCCUAAAAAGCAGUCUAUAGCAAGGGCCGGGCAAGACCGGUGCCAGCCGCCGCGGUAACACCGGCGGCUCGAGUGGUAACCGCUGUUAUUGGGUCUAAAGGGUCUGUAGCCUGCCGGCUAAGUCUCUUGGGAAAUCUGGCAUCUCAAGUGUCAGGCUGCCAGGGGAUACUGGUCAGCUUGGGACCGGGAGAGGUGAGAGGUACCUCAGGGGUAGGGGUGAAAUCUUGUAAUCCUUGAGGGACCACCAGUGGCGAAGGCGUCUCACCAGAACGGAUCCGACGGCAAGGGACGAAAGCUAGGGGCACGAACCGGAUUAGAUACCCGGGUAGUCCUAGCCGUAAACGAUACUCGCUAGGUGUCGGCCACGGUGCGACCGUGGUCGGUGCCGUAGGGAAGCCGUGAAGCGAGCCACCUGGGAAGUACGGCCGCAAGGCUGAAACUUAAAGGAAUUGGCGGGGGAGCACAAUC